rnacentral:lncRNA from 1 species
AUUGAUGUCUAAGGUAAGUUUGACAGUCUGGACCAGUGGUCAUUAAUUGAAAGCUACUCGCAUAGAUUGAGUCUAUGGAGAGUUAAUGGCAUAUCCCUCUCAUUGAUUUCACUUACCUAGCCAAUGUGGUUGAUCUAUGUUCAAUUAAGCUGCUCAUUGACUCAAACUAACCCAUAUCACAUAGGUGAAUCAGUAUGACUAAUUUAGGUGCCCCU